rnacentral:rRNA from 1 species
UGUGUUGCCAUCCAUUAAGUUGGGGCACUCUCAGGAGACCGCCAGCGAUAAGCUGGAGGAAGGUGGGGAUGACGUCAAGUCAUCAUGGCCUUUAUGUCCGGGGCUACACACGUGCUACAAUGACCGGUACAAUACGACGCCAACCCGCGAGGGGGAGCAAAUCGUAAAAACCGGCCUCAGUUCGGAUUGCAGGCUGCAACUCGCCUGCAUGAAGCUGGAAUCGCUAGUAAUGGCAGAUCAGCUACGGUGCCGUGAAUACGUUCCCGGGUCUU